rnacentral:misc_RNA from 1 species
UUUCCGUAGGUGAACCUGCGGAAGGAUCAUUGAUGAAUCUAUCCCUCGUCUCGAUACUCUCUGUAAAGAGAGUAAAGAGAUGGGUGGAACCAUCUAUCCCGCAAGGGAUGGGUGAAAUACCCUGUCGAAACGCAUCUCUUCUUUCUUGGAUCUCUGGAUUCUCUCUGGGAAUUGAGAUUCUCUUUGGAGAAUUCAGAGAUCCGAGAAAGGUAAAAUGAAUGACUCUGAUCGACGACUAACAAGAAUCAUAAUUAAAAUCAACUUUUAACAAUGGAUCUCUUGGCUCUU